GAUGAACGCUGGCGGCGUGCCUAAUACAUGCAAGUCGAGCGAACGGACGAGAAUCUUGCUUCUCUGAUGUUAGCGGCGGACGGGUGAGUAACACGUGGAUAACCUACCUAUAAGACUGGGAUAACUUCGGGAAACCGUAGCUAAUACCGGAUAAUAUUUUGAACCGCAUGGUUCAAAAGUGAAAGACGGUCUUGCUGUCACUUAUAGAUGGAUCCGCGCUGCAUUAGCUAGUUGGUAAGGUAACGGCUUACCAAGGCAACGAUGCAUAGCCGACCUGAGAGGGUGAUCGGCCAAACUGGAACUGAGACACGGUCAAGACUCCGACGGGAGGCAGCAGUAGGGAAUCUUCCGCAAUGGGCGAAAGCAUGACGGAGCAACGCCGCGUGAGUGAUGAAGGUCUUCGGAUCGUAAAACUCUGUUAUUAGGGAAGAACAUAUGUGUAAGUAACUGUGCACAUCUUGACGGUACCUAAUCAGAAAGCCACGGCUAACUACGUG
rnacentral:rRNA from 1 species